rnacentral:lncRNA from 1 species
UCGCACGUCGAUGUUACUACAUACAAGUAAACAGUGGUAUUUGGACUCUAUAUAUCAGAAAUUUUCUUUUCUUUUCUUUUUCUCCUGACGAUUCAUUUUUCUUUGUUAACAAACAUUGUUAUUUAGAUAAUAAGCUUAAACAAACCAGUAAAAUAUUUGUACAGCCUUCCACCUGUUACAUUGAUAUAUGUUUUAUUUUCUGGUCACAUUACUACGAAUAAUGACUGGAUAAUCACGUAGUUUUCUUAUCUAUCUCAAUGUCAACACUGAUUUUCUUUCAUACAAUUUAAGUAAAUUCUCUGCAAACCAGAUAACUCCUAUUUUCCAAAAAGAAAUACGCCUAUUUUCUAUAUUUAUCUUGUACUUUCCAACACGGAAGUUAUUUAAACGUCAAAUACCUAUUCAUAAAUCAUUAGCAUUGAAAUUUGAAUAUCUAACGUUUGCUUUCCACUGGAAUAUAUUCCGUCUCGGGACUAACAUUAAAACAGACAACUUGGUGGCACAGCGAAUGGAAUGGCAGGCAAAAAUAAACUAUAUCGUCUUCUACGGGAUGAUGAAAACCCGUUGCUAUGUGGAAUAACAGCUAAAAUUCCUUUAGCGACUGAAACUCCAAUGAACCAUAUUCGUCAUGGGUCAAGACAAAGUUCACAAUGGAUCUCAACCUCAAGAAAACUUUCUGAUGUUGACAAAUUUAUAAGACUUAAGAGAAAGACAGAAGGAGCGUGUGUAAGAUGUAGAGUUGUAGAAAUAGAUGAAAUAAAGGUGCGCUGGUACGCAGAGAUGGGCUGGUAUAGAUUUCAACAACUUGUUCAAACAUUUAUCGGAACAAAUACUACAUAUCUAUUUUGUCAGUUCAUGCAACAGACGACGGGUCAAAUAUUAGAUUUUACCGACCAAAGAGUUAUGGACGCGUAUAUCUCAUCAGUUCUAUCCGGACAAGAAGACAAAAAAGCACGACGUUUUGCAAAGAACUAUAGCGAGGUUCUUGUUGAACGCUUUAUCCCCGCAGAUUGUUGUGUUGCUAUAUAUCACAGGUAAACUCAGCAAUACAACAAUAUAUUCUUAUGAUUAUCGGAAUGAGAAAUUUGUUGCAAAGUCAUUUCAGUGUUGAAUUAAUCAAACCGAGCCUGCAGCAUUUUCGUUUUUGUCGUGUUGAGCGAUCUGUGAAGUUUCCACUUUUCUCUAUUUUCCUAUGCCAUUUUGUACUGGCCACCUGAAAUCAGUAGAUGUAUUAUAAUAUGUUUGAUAUACACUGCAUUUCAACGUUUACAUUUCAGUAUGAAUAUUUGUUAUUUAUUAUAAUUUUUAUGAGUGUUUAGAAAUUGUUAGAGAUCAUAAUUAUACAUGUGAUAGAUACUACGUAUCUUAAAACGCAUCCUCUGUAUUUUCUGAAUGAUUUGUUGACUAAUUCAUGUAUAACAUAUAAUACAUAUCAUCACAGUUUAUUAUAAUUUAUGAAUGUGAAUCAUGUACUGACAUAAGGUUUAUGGGGAAUAUCUUCUUCUUCUUCGCCAUGUCAUAUAAUAAAUAUUCAUACACUUUUAAGACUUUCUUUAAUAUAAACAAAGGAAGAUUUUACAGUGUAUUGUCUUGUCGAUUUAAACACGUUUUGCAAAAUGA